UUUCCGGUUGAUCCUGCCAGAGGUUACUGCUAUCGGUGUUCGCCUAAGCCAUGCGAGUCAUAUGUUCUUCGUGAACAUGGCGUACUGCUCAGUAACACGUGGAUAACCUGCCCUUGGGUCUGGGAUAACCCCGGGAAACUGGGGAUAAUACCGGAUAACGCAUAUAUGCUGGAAUGCUUUAUGCGUAAAAUGGAUUCGUCUGCCCAAGGAUGGGUCUGCGGCCUAUCAGGUAGUAGUGGGUGUAAUGUACCUACUAGCCUACAACGGGUACGGGUUGUGAGAGCAAGAGCCCGGAGAUGGAUUCUGAGACAUGAAUCCAGGCCCUACGGGGCGCAGCAGGCGCGAAAACUUUACAAUGCGGGAAACCGUGAUAAGGGGACACCGAGUGCCAGCAUCAUAUGCUGGCUGUCCAGAUGUGUAAAAUACAUCUGUUAGCAAGGGCCGGGCAAAGACCGGUGCCAGCCGCCGCGGUAACACCGGCGGCCCGAGUGGUGAUCGUGAUUAUUGGGUCUAAAGGGUCCGUAGCCGGUUUGGUCAGUCCUCCGGGAAAUCUGAUGGCUCAACCAUUAGGCUUUCGGGGGAUACUGCCAGGCUUGGAACCGGGAGGGGUAAGAGGUACUACAGGGGUAGGAGUGAAAUCUUGUAAUCCCUGUGAGACCACCUGUGGCGAAGGCGUCUUACCAGAACGGGUUCGACGGUGAGGGACGAAAGCUGGGGGCACGAACCGGAUUAGAUACCCGGGUAGUCCCAGCCGUAAACGAUGCUCGCUAGGUGUCAGGCAUGGCGCGACCGUGUCUGGUGCCGCAGGGAAGCCGUGAAGCGAGCCACCUGGGAAGUACGGCCGCAAGGCUGAAACUUAAAGGAAUUGGCGGGAA
rnacentral:rRNA from 1 species